rnacentral:misc_RNA from 1 species
AUUGUCUGAGAAAAUUGCAUAAUGGUAAAGCUUUGGAUCCUCCAAUUCAGGUGGCUGCGGCUUCCCUUCGUCAGUAUAUUUCUCAGGAUGUGCAAUUCUCUCCUCCAUCAACCUCAUAGCAAGGCAAUGCAAGCUUUUAGGUAUGGAUUUAGCAGCAAUCAAACUCGAAAAAGCCCCUUGCUUUUUCGCCUUAGUUAAUUGCUCAUUAACAGCAAAAAUUGUGUCUUUUAACUUUUGGAUUUUCAGCUGAUUGUCGAAACUUUCUUUCGCCUCGGCAAUUACUUGGCGGGUCACUUUGAUUCGCUCUUUCACUUCCUUCUC